rnacentral:rRNA from 1 species
CAAUAGCGUAUAUUUAAGUUGUUGCAGUUAAAAAGCUCGUAGUUGGAUUUCGGAUGGGAUUUGCCGGUCCGUCGCUACGAUGUGCACUGGCCAGUCCUAUCUUGUUGUCGGGGACUAGCUCCUUGGAUUCACUUCCUGGGACUAGGAGCUGACGAGGUUACUUUGAGUAAAUUAGAGUGUUCAAAGCAAGCCUACGCUCUGAAUACAUUAGCAUGGAAUAACACGAUAGGACUCUGGCUUAUCUUGUUGGUCUGUGAGACCAGAGUAAUGAUUAAGAGGGACAGUCGGGGACAUUCGUAUUUCAUUGUCAGAGGUGAAAUUCUUGGAUUUAUGAAAGACGAACUUCUGCGAAAGCAUUUGUCAAGGAUGUUUUCAUUAA